ACACACACACACACACGCCCUUUUAUUUCAACUUUCUCCAAGCAUCUCCACUAUGCACUCCACAGCAGCGGGAGCCUCACAACCAAAACACAUCCCCCACCUUACACAUCUCCCCACCCCCUCACCCGGCCAAGCUCAAGUUUCCAUGACUAGGUCUCAUGCUGUGGCACCAUGUGAAUAGGAGAGCCAGAUUUCCCAGAAAUGAUGAGAGCAAUGAUAAAUGUCUUAUUGAAAUGCACGAGAGCAAAAUCUUCCAUCGCCAGAGGGUUAUUAAAACUUCCCUCAAAAUUAACUCCUGAAAAUGCAGAAGGCUUCUACAACACAUGCACAAAUGCUCACUUCCAAACCUCCUAGGAUUGAAUCUGAAUUGUUUUUCAUCUGGAAUGAGUAUGAUUCAGAAUCCUCAUCCUCUACAAACGGGCAAUGAAUGAGGCAGGAAGGGAAAACAUAAACGCACCAAGAAUGAAUCAGAUGCCUCAUUGACAGAGAGAGAUGUUGCCUUGAAAUGAACCUAACAAAGUAUAUGAGACCACAUGAUCUAUAAGAGAAAGACACUUGCCCUAAAGUCAAGAAAUCACAUAUCAUCUCUUCUUGGUUUGGCUAUUAAUCCAUCGAAUGAUCUUAAAAUGUCAGUUUUUGCUUCAUCAAGUAAGGAUGACAUUUGCUUCCUCUUAUAUAGUGAUAUUGUAAAGAAUUUUUUAUCUGUAAAGCAUUCAAAUAUCCAUAAAGGAAAGAUAAUGAGAAAACAGAAUUUUGUGAUUGGGAACAAUUUGAAAGACCAGUUUCAGCAGAAUGAUGAGUUGCCCUAAGGGACUGAGAAGGGAGAAAAAUUGAAGAAGCACACACAGAAUUUUUCUUUUAAAAAGUUUUGAAAAAGAGAAGAAAGAUAAGAUGGCAGAUCAAAGAGACAGAAGGAUGCUGGCACAGAUUGAGGAAGAAGUCCUUUGCCACUUGUCUGUUCAGAAAAAUCUGUCUUUGCCAAAGAGUUAAAUGGACCUGAACUAGCCACUAGUGCAUAUAGUUGAAGCAUAUUGAACUGAAGGUAUCAGAGAGAAAUGGUGAUGUGCAUGACCCCUUCUCUCCUCUGGCUUUGCCAUAACUCUCAUGCAGGCCCUCAUGGUCUCAUGCUAUCAUGACUACAGUACCCUGCUGAUGAAUCUACCUGCUUUAAGUCUUAAUCCAUUUUCCAUUCAGCCACUAAAGUGGUUAAUCAUGUCAAUCCCUACUCAGUAAAUUCCAGGGGUUCCCUGUUACCUCCAGAACCAAAUAUAAAAUGCUCUGUUUGGCAUUGAAAGCCCUUCAUAACUUAGCUCCCUUCUAAUUUUCCAGUCUUCCCAUAUUUUAAUUCCCAAAAGGUAUUCUUCUAACCAGUGACACUGGUCUACUGGCUGUUCCAAACUCAAGAUACUCCAUCUCCCAGCCUCUGCCAUUUUCUCUGGAUGUCUCUCAUGCCUGGGGACACUCUCCCUCCUUAGUUCUGACUACUGACUUCCUUGGCUUCCUUUAAGACCAAACUACAAUCCUACCUUCUAUGAGAAGCCUUCUCCAAUUGCUCAUUGGGUCCAGGAGGGGGAGGCAGGAGGGGAGGGAAAGAACAUGAAUCAUGUAACCAUGGAAAAAUAUUCUAAAUUAAUUAAAUUUUAAAAAUGAAGAAUCAGAAAAAAGAAA